rnacentral:lncRNA from 1 species
CCUCAAGGGUAGUUGCAGGUGCAUUCACUUGACCUCUACGAAGGAUGAACAUUUCCCAUGAGUUUUCCACUUGUGUUUCAUCCUUGCCUUUGCUUCAGUUUCCUGUGAGACAAAUUGGAGUUUGACAUCCCUCCUCAAGAUGCCUCCUCCAAGACCAGAGUUCCCUGUGGCUGAGCUGUGUGUGCAGAGAGCACCUUUCUCUCUCCUUGGGAAGCCCUUUGAAUGUAGAAACUCUGCAUUCCUCAUUCCUGUGCCCUCCCUCUCCCCAGUGGCUAGGACUUAACACCAAAGGGUGCUCAGGAAACAAAUGGAAGCAGGGCACUAACCAACUCCAGGAGGACUGGGAGCAUGUUUCCCGCUGAAUCCCUGCCAUCUUGACCACUGCCUGGCAAGAGAAGACACUCUACCAACAUUUUUUUAGGUGCAGUGAGAUUAGUGGUAAUUUAAAAAGCAGGAUUGCCUCUGUGUCAAUUUCCCGCUAAUGAGCAAAACUCGCCGUGUAAUUGCUAUGUAUUGAACGAAGCAACAAUACAUUUUCAGUGGCUGUUUAAUAUGCUGGGGCUUGGUUUAACAGAUGUUCUGAGACUCGCUUUCCAAGACGGAGGAGCCAAGCCCAGAAGAAGAAGGUGACAUUUCCCUUUCUUUUGCCUCUGUCCAGUGCUGCAUCCCUUGGAGGGCAUGAGGCAAGGCCACGUGAGACACAGUCGGUGCUAGAUUCCUGGAGGCAGAGCUGAGGGUAGGUCUUGAAACCAGCGAGGGUAGCAAGCAGAGGAAGAUGACGAUCCAUUCCUCUUCUGAUCUUCACUAUAAGGGGCACCAAGCCCUGGGUCAUGACAAGGUCUUAUAUUUAGCAUGGACUUGCAACCAGUAAGUGCUGUCCCUUGCUAGCUCUGUGACCCUCUCAUGUGACUUUAACCUCUCUUGAGUCUCAGCUUCACCAUCUUUCGAAUGGGGAUAACACGUAACAUAUCUCAUGAGGAUGAAAUGAUGAACGAACAGGGCCGUUCCCCUGCCUGGACACUCUUCUCUAGAGUGUCUGCAUGUCUCUCUCCCUCACUUGGGUGCAUGGACGCCUACUGUCCAUUGCCCUCCUCUGUCUGCCUCUGGCAAAUGCUUUGUGCUGGGGGUUGGUGGAUAUGAAGGUCAAAUGUCACCAUCUUCCUAGGCCUUUCCAGAAUGCCCUCUUGCCUGCUCUCUCCUUGACAUGCUCCACGUUUCUCCCAUAGCACCUGACACCCUCCAACACUCUGUGUUAACUCACAUAUUUUUGUUUGUUUGUUUCUCACCCUCUGUCUCUCCUUAUUAGAAGGUAAGCUCCACGAGGGCAAGGAUUUAUGGCCUUUUUCUUCCAUGGAUGACUCUGAAACGCCUAGAACAGUACCUGGCACACAGUAGGUGCUCCACUAAUGCUGAAUGAAUGAUGCAUGUGGAAGGCUGAGUCUGGUUCCCACAACACAGU